CUUUAAUGAUUUCAUGCCAUUUAAUGAAAGCAUUUUCUCAGAUACAAUGGGUUUCUUUCUCUUUUAGUUUAUCACUACAUAUGUUCCCUUUGGAGAAUAUAUUUGAUUGAAGUGGCAGAGUGGCAUACCCCCUAAGGCAGAGUCAAUGAAAUCAAUUUCUGGGGUCAACUUAGUGAACAAAAAGCAGCUAAAUGGAGCAGAUGUCUGAUAAUAACAAUCUGAGUUCUACUCUCUCACUUUUCUCAGGAGGAGCACAAGGGUGCAGUUUGUAACAUUCUGCUUCUAGAAGCAAGAUGGUUGUGACUACCUUCAGAGGAAUUUGCCAGCAAGAAAUUAAAACAUUUUCCUGGAUGUUUCUAGAGACCAAACAGUCUAUGUGAAGACAGUGAGGAAGUGGGUGAUAAAGGAGACUACUGACUACUGGAUCUGAAGCAGAUGGGAAGAAAACCAAGAAAGAAACAGAUGCAAUGAACAAAUCCAGAAGAAUUCUGGAUGAGGAAGACUUAUGUUACACAGUACCCUAAAGCCAGUAAAGCAUCAUGACUCUAGAAAGCUUUUAGACACAAUUUCAAGGAACAUUAUCGCACUCUGGCUAGAAUUUGAGAUUUAUUUAUUUAUUUAUUUAUUUAUUUUUCCUACACUCUGUUCCCAACAAAAAUUCAGAAGGAGGUAAGUACUUGAGAAUUUAUAGAAUCAUAGAUAAGCAUUUCAAUAAAUCUGUCAUCUGUUGGAAAAGAAUUCUAGAU
rnacentral:lncRNA from 1 species